AGAGUUGAUCCUGGCUCAGGAUGAACGCUAGCGACAGGCUUAACACAUGCAAGUCGAGGGGCAGCACGGGAGUAGCAAUACAACUGGUGGCGACCGGCGCACGGGUGAGUAACGCGUAUGCAACCUACCUAUCAGAGGGGAAUAACCCGGCGAAAGUCGGACUAAUACCGCAUAAAACAGGGGCACCGCAUGGUGAUAUUUGUUAAAGAGAUUCGCUGAUAGAUGGGCAUGCGUUCCAUUAGGUAGUUGGUGAGGUAACGGCUCACCAAGCCGACGAUGGAUAGGGGAACUGAGAGGUUGGUCCCCCACACUGGUACUGAGACACGGACCAGACUCCUACGGGAGGCAGCAGUGAGGAAUAUUGGUCAAUGGGCGGGAGCCUGAACCAGCCAAGUCGCGUGAAAGGAAGAAGGAUCUAUGGUUCGUAAACUUCUUUUGCAGGGGAAUAAAGUGCAGGAUGUGUCCUGUUUUGUAUGUACCCUGAGAAUAAGGAUCGGCUAACUCCGUGCCAGCCGCGGC
rnacentral:rRNA from 1 species